rnacentral:lncRNA from 1 species
UGGUGGUGGUGAUGUGUCCACAAGCAUCCGACGAUGGGUCUGUAAAGAAGCACUUUGCGGCUGGAACGAUGUGUAGGGGGUUCUUUUGAUACAAUGUCGAAUCUUCUUAAUUACGAGAGAACAUUCUUUUUAUGUAGCUACGAUGUGCUAGUGUAUUGGUGCUUCGAGUGUUAGUGUUGUACUGGAGUAUAAUGUACCAUUCCGAUGAUAUGUAAUGUACUACUCUGUCGAUUUGAAAAAAAAACUUGUACGCACACCUAUUGAAGAAAAAUUUGAGUCAAUUGUAACAAAACUCAAGGUUGAAACUUUGUCGAACUAAGGUCGGAACUUUGUUCGAACGAUUACAUAGGACAAGUAGAAAGAACGAGAAUUCACAUGUAAGUGAGGAAAGAAAAAAUUAAAAACCAAAACAAAAAGAAGAAAGAAUUGACAUAUUUGGAGAUUGCGACGUCAAUUAAAGAGCCAAUUCUCAGAGAGGAAGCACCGGAGGCUGGUGGUGGCGGUGGAGCGGAAGCAGGAGAGAGUAGGGAAAUCCGACGGUGAGAUUGACCUUUUGGCCCCGCUCGUAGUUAUCACCAACGGAAGAGAUGAAGUAGCUUAUAAAAAUUAAUUAAUAAAUGAACAUUUAUUGUAAUAUAGCUUAUUUUAUAAUUAAAAUAGAGGAUUAGACGAUAUUAAUUUCUUGGAAACGACUGCUAAGCUUAAGCGACGAAGGAAAUUACUGCUACAAGUGUGGGGAUGAGCCCAACGAAAGUACGAAGAGUAGUGGUAGUGAGAGAUGAAGCGUGGGAGGAUGGUGGUGGAGGAGCUAACAGAGAAGAGGUGGUGGUUGGUGAUCCAACGGUGAUGCUGACCUUUUGGCCUUGCUCGCGGUGGUCACCAACGGUGCAGAUGAAGAAGCGGGAACUGGUAGAAUUGAGUACCGUCCUUACUCCUGGUCCCAGUACGAUCCCAGGGUCACUACUGCAGCUAUCAUAUUCUUCGUUUGUUGCUAUUUCCCCCACAUUAUGGUCCCACGUUUCAGUCCAAUUGAACACUGCAAUGCCAAAAAAUCACAACAAUAAGUUAACAACAAAGAUAUAUAAAUACUCAUAUGAACUUGGACACAAGAGCCAGGAAUAAUUAAUGCCCCGGUUCGGUUACCUGACCUAACUUCCGUCUAGUUGUUACUGGAAAUUGGAAAGCGCACUUACCGACUUUAUCUCCUAUUUGGAAUGUCUUUGAGGCAGCGCAGUCGGAGUAAACGGAGGUGUAUAAGGGCAAGCCACCGCCAUACUCACCAAGCAAGCCAUCAUCAUAUUAAUAUCUCUGCGACUGCCCAUAUCCUUACGCAUGGUGAAUAUUUUGAUCGGCGUACGUGUUUUUCGGCGAUCUGCAAGUACUUUUUCUUGGAUCGACGUACGUGUUUUUCCUUUUUCGUUUAUAAAUAUGCAUGCGUACGAUUUAUGAAAUCAAUUUUCUAAUAAAUUAAGCAUAUAUGUUGUAUGUGUGGCGGGAAAACCUUGAAAACUUUGAACAAGUUGAAUAUAACCCUGCAUUGCCUGGUGAUUUUGAUGCACUCUAAAAGAAAAAAGAAGAAAGAAAUCACCAAGUUUUACCAGUUCCAUCGUCCCAGAGUCAAAGACUUACGGGUUCAUUGAGGGAUGCCGUUGCACUCCCACACACGACCUGGUCUAUGAAUCUACGAUUUCUUCUCUUUAACUUCUAGUUUUCAAAGAACUAGUAUCUUUACUCUUUCGCAACUCUACAUGCUUGCUAUACUUUAAAGUAUAAACGCGUUGUUUAUUCAUAUUAUAACACAUAACUCUAGCCUCAACAACACUCAACCGAAAAAUUAUCUAGUAGGGAAGGAAUAAAAAAGAAACCAAAUUACACGUGUGAAAGAUGUCUUUUUGCCCUUGAUCUUGUCCUUGCCCUCCUAAAACGGAUGGACUUGCUCUAAGCUGCCAUUUGUAUUCAGACAUGCCCUGGUCUAAAAAGACUCUAAUUAAGCUGACUGCAGUCGUUUGAGUUCAAGUGAGGUAUGCAAAGGAUAAUGUUUUCAACUUCAAAAGUUUACUUAACCCUCGUCACAAACGGGUGCCAAAUCCGUGGCUAUAAGUAUCAUAUUUUGGCUUUCUCCUUCUGCACAAAUAUUCAAAUAUCCAAAUCACACCCUGAUUAGUACCGUGCCAACUGGAUCACAUUGACGUGAAGCUGGCCAACAUGGCCAGAAGCUAGUCAGUAGCGUUAUCGCCGGAACUAAACCUAUCGAUCCUAGUCCGACUCUAUCCCCACCAGCACCGCCGCCGCCAAACUCCACUUACCAGCUCUAACACCUGUUGCCACCGCUUGUUCUAUUUGUUAUCUCCACCAUAGUCAUGUCUUUCUUCUUGUACUUACAUCUAAAUAUUAACUCUAUAACGUGUAUAUUAUUAUUUUUAUAUCAGUAAUGCUAAUUGAUCACAUCUAUAUCGAAUAUGAUAAUGCUUGUGUCCUUUACAUGGGGGACUUACUUGUUCCACCAAUUACGAUUAACGAACUUUUACCAUAUGAACAUCAUAAUCAAAAUCAUUUAUUAUCUUUAUCAUUAUCUAAAGAUUAUAUGUGCAAAAAAAAAAAAACAUUCAAUUUGAGAUGUUUUAGCCAUUCACAUGUAUAAAACAAAUGGACGUUUUAUCAUAAGGAUGUUGCUUGUUACCAAAACCGUUGAUUGGCAUAAUCGUAAGUAAGGGGACACAAGCAUUAUCCUAUAAAAUAUAUGACCGCUUUUGUUAGAAGGUGAUCAACCAUAACAUAUGGUGAUGUGUGAUUAAUUUAAAAUAUUAUCACUCUAGCUGUUCUAAUUUCAUGUAAAUUCUUCUCUUAUUAGAGAAAUGAUACAUAAUGUAGAACAAGGAACACCAUUCUAUAUAUUAAUUUAUCAAAAGUUUUGUUAAGAAGGUUCUAUCGAUCAUACAAUAAAAGCGUUAAUCAUACCGCAAGGAACAAAAUUAUUUAAACUUAUACUGAUUGACCAGGCCCAGCUCAAUUGACAAAGCUAGGCUUAAUUUUGCACAUUUGGGGGCCUUAUAUUCCACAUCGCAAUUUGAUAUGUAAUAGUACAUUUUGUGGAAAUGUGAGACCAAAUUAUGCAACGUUUAUAAAAAGUUGGGUUAUUUUUUUUUAUCAAUUUUUUUUAUUGUGGAAUUUCAAUUUUCUUUAUGGUAUCAGAGCAGGUCGGCUCACCUGUGAUGUACAUUGGCCAUACGUGCUUCACGUCCUCCAAUUUAUGUUUUUCAUGUGUUAGACUUGAAAAUUCGCCACACGUGGGAGCGUGCGAGAAUGUGAGAACAAAGUCCUACAUCGGUGACGGACCAAAACCAUGCAAGGGAAUUGAACUACUUUUCAUAUUGUCAAUUAUUUUUAAGAUGAAACCUCAGCUUUCUUCGCAUUCAACAUUUCCAAAAGAAAAGAAUAUCAAUAAACAUAAUCUGCAGAAACAGCAUAACAUGAAUUGUAAAUGAAGUAAGUACAUUUAGUUAAUGCUAAGGAAGGAGAUGACUAGUGCAGUGCAGAGGAUUAGGGCAACAAUAUUAAGGCUGAGAGAAGAAGCGCCGUUCCAUUCCCACCAAUGAUCAUCAUCAUCGUUAUCUCCUGAUGAAGAAUAAUCUCCUCCAAUUCUGAUAGUCACCUUCUGCCCUAAUCUACUGCAGUGACUAUCUUCCGUGCAUAUGAAGUAACGGGUCAAGUUGGACGUCAGUACAAUUCUUGUAGGGCUGGAAUCAUAGAAACCAAGAGGGUUGUCCUUUGAGCAGCUAUCGUAAUCAGCCUGUGUUACUUCAGCUACUCUGUGUUCCCCGCUCCAUUUGAAUUCUGCAAAAUGAUUGAGAGAUAAAGUUAAGCUGAUGUUCAUCAAUAAGAAAGGAUAAACUCUCUUUGAAGGAAGAGAUGAUGCGCUGUGAACACCUCACUUAUACUCAAAUUUCUUCGUUUUUAAAUCUCACUAAUGGACAUUGUUGACUAUUAGGGUAACAAGUGGUCCUCUAGAACUUCGAUUUUAAGUCCUAACUAACAAUUUUGGUCUACUUAAAACCUAAAUCAAAGUGAUUAUUAACCAAUUCGAGACUAAAAUUUCUAGUCUCAAAUGAUGAUUUUACACCCUAAAACUUCAACCAUGUUAACAAAUGGGAUAAAAGUUGAAGACAAAUGAGUAUAAAUAGGAUUUUCUCAAUAUGUAAUGUUUUUAAAGACAUGACGUCAUGCACAAAGACGGACUGAAUAAAAGGCCAAUUUGAAUGAUGAUUUAGAGGUAAGAAAGUCGGUUGUGAACUAAUUAACUUACGACUUACCUAUUGUAUCACCAAUCUGAAAUCUCUUUGCGUUAGCCCAGGUGGAAUAGGCAACAGAGCCAGCUGGAGGAAUAGUCCAGCCUAAAUCAUCCCCAACUUUGUAGGUUUCAGCUGUGGCACCCUUCCACAAGGCCACUACAACAAGAAGCAAACAACCGAUCAAUCCCUUCUGACUCACCAUUUACUCAAUCUCUUCUUUCUCUUUGGAAGUGUUUUGGUGUAUGAAUCAGUUAUUAAUGUCGACUACUUAUACACAAACAGAAUAAUGAGCAAAAGAUAGAGUUCGCAGCGGGUGCCUUUAGGAAGGGAGUUCCUAUUGUUUUCAAAUAAGGCGGCUGAAGCUAACUUUAACUGAUCAGAGGUUUGACCAUAUUGUAUAUCGACCUUUUUUCUUUUGAGAAUAAAACGUGUUCUUCUGGAAGCAAAGAGCAAAACAUAAGGAUUAUUGUACAACCUUAGGAUAUUAUUAAUGUGUACCAACGUUGACUAAAGUUAGUGAAUAGAGAAAGUGAUGUACAUCAGAUGGCUGAAACUAGCUAUCAACAUUAAUGUCACGGACUUGAGAUCGGCAAAAACUAUGAAUUCAAAAUGCGAGUAAAUUUAAAUAGAUAAAAAUCUAAAAUGAAAGAAAAUAUAGGGGAAUUUGGGGUUGGAGACAAAUAGUUAGACAAAAUUACUAACAAAAAGAGAAUGAGAUUAUUGGAAAGGGUUUAAUUAGUUCAUAUGGUUAAGCAAUUGGGACCUAGUGGUAUAGCUAAAAGAAAGUUGAGAUUAUACAAUAAACUAAUUGACAACACAUGGAGUACACAACUUGUUUUUAAACCCAUGUAAGAUCCAUUCUCCAAUUAAUGUGAGAUUCAUUCUCAACGCACUUCAUCACAUGCGACGAACCCUCUUAGAAAUAAAAACUAGAUUUGCCUAACUCCUUCAACCUAUUGGUCAAGUUACUUGUUUCCACUUGCCUUACAAGUCGAGCCGAGCAUAUAUGUGCAAUACAAAUUUGGUGACGUGGAGCAUGUGUGGUAUUUGGGCUUGACACAUGAGACAACAUGCUUUGAUAGCCUGAAAAAAGUUGAGGUUCCACCAUAAAAUCAAUUAACAAUAUUGAGAGUAGCUCAAUUUCUUAUAAACUCAUACAAGGUCCCUUCUCUCAUCAAGGAGGGAUUCAUUCUUAACAGGCUUCUUCAUGUGUGGCGGAUUUUCAAGCCAAACAUGUGAACAACACAAGAAAGGUGAUGUGCGUGGAUAACAUGUGACCAUUGGGUUUCACAUGUGGGACAACCAACUCUGACAUCGUGAAGUAAGUUGAGGUUCCAUCAUAAAACCAACUGGAAAAACGAGGAAUUACCCAACUUACCUAUAAGUCUAUGCAAAUUCUCUUCUCCCAUCAAUGUGGGAUUCACUCUUAAUAUAGGCAUGGUAUGAGAUGUGCAAUGUUUGUUUAUUCAUUUAUAUGAAUUAAUGAGAAUAGAGACAAGAAAUUUGCAUUGUAAUUUGCAUACAUCAAUAAUGAUUUGAUACUUGACCACAAGAUGUACUUAUUUAGCGUUGUCAAUUUACUGUGAUAAUGUGUAUGCCCUUAUUACUGUUGAUACUCACCCCUCCACAAAUAUUUUUUUUGUAGGUUUACAAACUAGACAUUGGUAAGAUAGACGGAUGAUAUCAAAUUAGAUAGGAGGGAAGGAAUUUUAUUUCUUCUUGCAGUUGUAAGAAAUUAUUGGUUAAUUUUACAAGAGGAAUUUACUUUCAUCCAAUUUUAGGUUCUAUUUGUUUAUUUAAAUUUGACUCACACUUCAAAUUCGAAAUUGCAUGAUAGUUAUCGCUAGAACUAACCCUGUUGUUUCUAGUCCAAAAUUGCCCCCAUCCCCAUCGUCGUCGCCAAACUCUGCUUUAGCUGCGACGUCCGUUGCCACCACUUUAUUUGCAAUCGUGUCUACUAUCAUGCUAUGUUAAUAUUAAUCUACGUGUUGUAAUAUGAUCUUACACAUAUCAAUUGGCAGCCAUUGUUGUGACUGGCUUUCGAGGCCCCCUAAUUUCAUUUUGGACCUCUUAGUUGAGGAUUGCUUGUGACUGAUUUUACUGGUUACUUGUAAUCUUUGAUGUACUGUCUGGAUUGGGGCUGUUUUGGCUCCAAUCUCUGAAGAUUACCAUCGCAACUUUUCAAAUUGAAAAAAAAAUAAAAAUGCGUGACUAUAUGUGGUGGUCACACCAAAUAACUUAUCUUGAAUUUUAAUUGUACCUCCACAUGUGUAACAUGUAUCAUUUUAUAAAUUUUUACCAAUGUAUUAUUUGACUAUUUCUGAGAAGGUGAGUUUUUCUUAACUGAUAGAUAUGAAUAAUAGGCGUUAAUCAUAACGCAUGGCUGAUAUAGAUUUACUGAGUCACAAUUUAUCCUCGGAUUGACUAAAGUCUAAACUGAGCACGACUAAACCCAUCUCAACGGACAGAGCUGGCCUUAAUUAAUUCAUCCAAAAAGUUCGAGAAAAAAGGCUUAAAUAGAUUAAUUUCAUGUGGUGAUAGGGUAAUCAGAAGGUAUAGCUCAUGUGGUAAAAAAUUAUUAGGAUUGAAACCCCUAUAGUGAAGUCCAUAAGGAUUGAAACUGACAUGCUAACACAAGGCUAUCUUCCUACGACUCUAUCAUCAUGGGACUAAUAAUCCAAUUAGGCCAAAAAAUAAAAUCCAAAACUUUCCGAAACAUUCGAGCAAAUAAAACAAAGUCCAAAACUUCCAACUCUGAAUGGAAAAUCUUUGCUUUAGUAGUAAUGAAAAGAAUCAAUCAAAAUGAUGAAAACACAUGAAUAUAAAUUAGGUAUUAAGUAGAAUUAAUUAAAGCUAUAGAAGAAGAUGGCCAUCGCAGUGAGAGAAGAAGAGGAGUUGCGGUCCCACCAGCAAUCAUCAUCUUCAGAAAUGUUGAUAGUCACCUUCUGCCCUAGAUCACUGCGGUGAGUAUCUACCGUGCAGAUGAAGUGACGGGUCACGUUGGAAGUCAGUGUAAUACUUGCAGGGCUGGAAUCAUAAAAACCAAGAGGGUUCGAAUUUGAGCAGUCAUCGUAAUCUGCUCAUCGUAAUUGUUAGGAUCCUUCGGCCACCAUAGGUUACUAGUAUUUAUUAGGCCCAUUGCUAAUGUUAAACCCACUAAGACUACUAAACCCUAACUAUUCUUUUGUGUAUUUAAACUACUAUGUUCAUCUAAAUGGCAUGAAUGAAGAUAUGAAUUUAAUUUCCUUUAAUUUUCUUUUCCAUUUCCUGCAUUACUUUUCUUGCAAUUUACCUUUACCAUGUAUGAUCCUAUCAGUAAUCAACCUUUGAUACUUCGGCUACCGUAUGAGAUCCACUCCACUUGAAUACUGCAAAACAAUUUUAGAAAAAUAAAUAAACAGAUGUUCACCAAUCAAAAGGAGAAAUUUUCUUUGCAGAAAUUCAUUUAAAGGAUCGAUCCAGGUUCUAAUUUGAAGAAAUAGAGAUCACUCUUAUAAAAAUCUCCGCCUAGCAUCUCUUAGGCCAUUGCCUAGACGCUAGACGGUUGGCCAUUGCCACAAUUAAUCACUAGGUGUUUGAAAAUUAAGAAAGAGUGUCUAGACCUGCCUAACUGUUUUAGUUGCGACUCUCACUUAAACACAAAAUAAAUAAAUUUCAUUUUGCAUUUUAUUUUUUCAAUAAAUUGUAAGAGACUUAUUGAAUAUUUAGUCGAAGACUCAAUUUAUGCUUGUUCUUCAUGUUUAAAUAUGUUCUAAUAGUUUAUAAUUUAUAUGUCAUUCUAUUUUGUAAUUUAUGUAUCUAAAUACAAUUACGUAUUUUUAAGUAUAAGUAAACAUUUAUUUAUAUGUUAUAUAAUAAAGUUAAUCAAAAUUAAAAAAAAAAACCACCUAGGUCUCCGCUCAACUAGUGCCUAGCACCAACCUUGAUUGAGAUUUGUCUAUAAAGACAUGACGUCCUGCACAGAUCUAAACUGAUCAAUAAGAAAUAACAAAUAUUAAUGAAGAUUUAGAGAAAUAAUUUUUUAGUUAUCUAUUGUAUCAUUAAUCUGAAAUCUCUGUGUUAGCCCAUGUGGAGUAGGCAAUAGAGCCACCUAGAGGAAUAGUCCAUUCUAAAUCGUCUCCGACUGUGUAAGUAUCAGCUGCGGCACCGCCGAACAAGGCCACUGCAACAAGAAGAAAGCAACCAACCAACCUCAUAAGACUCACCAUUUCUCUCCUGUGUGUUCUUCUUUACGUCGUCCCUGGCUACAAACCCUAAUUUCUUCUUUUACUCUUUGCAAUUUUUUUUUAUGUGUGUAGAUGAUUAUUGAUUUAACGUCGACUACUUGUACAGAAGUGAAGGGUGACCAAAAGCUAUAGAAUUUUAUUAUUUUCGACAUUUCGAAAGCGAGUUUCAUUGUUUUCCAACGUGAACAGAUAAUCUAGAAGUUUGACCUUCUUACACACACACACGCACGCACGCACGCACGCGCACGCGCGCAUAUAUAUAUAUAUAUAUAUAUAUAUAUAUAUAUAUUAUUUUCUUUUGAAAAAUAGUUAAAGUGUUUUUCUAGAAGCAAAGACCGAAAAGACUAGUAUAAUAUUGUACAAUCUAGCAAGAGUCAUAAAUUUUGGAUUUAACCUCGAAUUCCCAACAGGAUCCUUUUCGAUGAGAAUCUUGAAAGGAAAACUAAUGAAAAGGGCUUGAAAACUUUGAGUUUUAAUGAUAAGGACAAAAUAAAGGGUAAAGUGAAUAGUACCAGAAUUGAUUUUUUAGUGUAAAAAUGUGGUUUUUCGUUAAAGUGAACAGUACCGGGUGCUUUUCGUUAAAGUUCCCUAUCUUGAAAAUUCGUUAAUCGUGUUCGUUUAUUGUACAUUGUGCCAUCAGUUUUUAUCAGGUAUUAUUUGUAUUUAAUUUUAAAUAAAAAUAUUUAAAAUAAUUUCUGAUCACAUGAUGUACGAUGAAUAGACACGAUUUACGAAUUUUUAGAGUCCACAUAAAGAGAAUCCGAAUUCCUCAAAUUCAACCUUUUUCUUUUUUUUUCCCAGGUUUUCUGGGUGCAAUUGAAUAAAGCAAAUUAAAAAAAAAAAAAACUACGUAAGUUCUUCAUCAUCUUGUUUUUCCGUAUUUAGUAAUUUGUAUAUAUAGUAAACUUGAUCUGUUUCUACUUUUUUAGUAUAUCGCCUUUACAACAAGAAUUUUUUUUUAUCACGACCCUAAAGUAAUGGUGAUACUCAUCAUCUUAUGGAUUCGAACCCCGUUAAUGAUUAAUCUAAUAAAAUCUAUCAUUUGACAAAAAAAUAAAAAAAAAGUAAUGAUGAUGCUCAUUACCUUAUUUAUCAUCAUUAUAUGCAUUUAAAUUUAGAAAUUUGUAUAGAUGAUAGAUACAAAUCUCAAAAUUUUAAUUCAUCUAACAAUGAUAAAUAAAGUAGUGAACAUUAUCACCACUUGAGAGUAAUUAACAUUAUCAUCACUUGAGGGUGUAAACAAAAAUACACCCCUUAUAACAAUGUGAAACGUAUAUUGCCAAGAGACUAAAUUGUAAUCAAACGAAAUGGAAAGGUGUAGGCAGGCAUCAUGGCCCAAGUCAAAUAUUUUGACUUGAACUAGGUGCGUUUUGUAUUGUUGCCACGUUGAUGUAUUUAUUACUUGGGCUCCAAUAUAGAUGGAUAUCACAAUGAGAACGUAUAUAUAUUACGGGGCUGUGAUAUCCACACAUUUUAUUUUAUUUCUUACAUAUUUUUUUAAUUUUUUACCGUCAGAUCGGAUGAAUUGAAGAAGAUCAACGAACAUAAAUUAUUAAGGGUGUGUGAGAAGUAAAAUGAGGUAUGUGAAUAGCACACCCUUAUAUUAUAUGACACAACGUAACAAGUAAAAGCGAUCAAAUGUUAACCAAGAACAUACAGAAGUUUGUACACCAGCAAAAGGAUCAGAUUGACCACAAAUUUUGUUUGAUUGAUGAUAUGAAGAUAACAACCGUAUUACGGUAUUAGCAAAGCUAAAGUUGCUUUUAUAGAAAAUUUUCAUUAUGUUUUUAGGGAAUAAAAUAUUAUAAAUUUUUAGAAAUGUCAACAACAGUUAACUACGUAAUUAUUAACGGGUUUAGUACAUAUAGUUGUUUUUUCGUAUGAGUCAAAAGUAUUUUGAACGUAUCAGUUACAAAUUAAACAUGAGGGAUUGAAGAAGAAGAAAAGAUUGAUCAACGAAACUUAGUAGAAAUGUUUAAAACAAAGUUAUGCUAUGGUCAUUUUUAUUUCAUUUAACGAAACCAUGCCAAGUGGGUCUUUCUGCUUUUUGCCACUGUCUUUUAAUAGUCGUUAUACGUCUCUUUCUCUUAAUUGAAUAAUGUUUCUUUUUAUCAAACAAAUCUAAUUAUUAUGUGGCUAAACUGGAUUUGGUCUCUUUUUGAGUCUUGACAACUGAAAGGCUGUGGCAUUAAACAAACCCAGUUGCAAAAGUUAAGCACGUAAUCUAAGAAAUUAUCUUAGAAGAUGAGGCGCACUAUGGCACCGUGUCAAACCCAAAUGUAUCAAUUUCUGAUCUUGUGUCAAACCCAAAUGUAUCAAUUUCUGAUCUUAUGUCAAACCUAACAAAUUAAGUUGUUGAAAGAGUUGGUAAAUUGAAAACGAAGUAUAUAACAUAACUGACUUUGUAGUUCAGUUUGUUAGGAACAUUCACAUUUGCAUAUUUUGUUUUCAACUGUUCAUAUAUAUUGCUUUGUAUUUUAAAAGAAUCAAACAAUCUAUUUUAUUGCAUUUAAUCUUUACUUUGUUGGAGAAAGUCACGAAUUUAAAUUUCAUAGAAAAAAAUUAUUGAAAAAACUCUGAAGAAUUUAGUUGAAUUCAUUUUGUGUAAAAUUUCGUUGAUCAUAUUACUGAAUGUCAAAAUUCAAAACCAAAAAUUUAUUAUUAUGCAAAAAAAAAAAAAAAAAAACUGAUCAAUAUCGUAUUACAACAAUCACGCUAUAGCUGUCUAGUUGAAUGAAUCACAUCACACAAGAUUUAAAACUAUAUACCGCCCCGGAAAAUAAUCUAAAACAACAAAGCUAGAGCAAUGGACAAAAAGGAAGCGGAAAGGCCAGCGGCGCCGAGAGAAGCUGCUGCAUUUGGUGGUGGUGGUGCUGCACCUUCAGGUGUCGGUGACGACGGAGUAGUUGGGGUGGUUGGAGUUCCAGAUGGAGGGGUGGCACUAGAGCCUGGAGGGGUGGCACUGCUGCUUGGAGGAGUGGCGGUCGAGGAAGGUGGCGUGGCGGUGGUGCUGCCGGAGGUGACAUUGAUGGCAAGCUUCUGGCCUCCGACACAGUGGCCGGUGAAAGUGCAGAUGAAGAAAUUCUCGCCGGUGGUGUUGAGAGUGAUUCUCGUUGGUGGGUUCGUGAACAGAGCGAGGGUGUUGCUGGUGUUGCAUGAGUCGUAGUUUGCCUUGGUCACCUCUGCCACGUCGUGUGUUCCGUUCAAAUAGUUGAACACUGCACAAUAAAAAAACAGAAUCAACACCUUAAAGACUAACUAAUUUAAAAAAAAAAAAAACGUAAAUUGUUUACGAGGCAAAAAAUCUGAACUAUUUUGAUUUGCGUGACAAGAGAUCGAACUCAAAAAGAAUUGGUGACUUCGUCACGACAUGCCACCCUUUCAAGGCCGGAAUACUCCAGAGCAUUCAGGCAUAAAUACUCUCCAGAAAAACAAUCCCAAAAGACCAUAUUUAGCGUAAUUGAGGCUUACCUAGAGUGUCACCAACCAAAAAGGUCUUGUUAGCAGCCCAAGUUUGGUAAGAGCCUGGAGGGAGGACGGUCCAUCCGGAGUUGUUGCCAACGGUCCAAGUGACAGGUGCUCUUGUGGAGCUUGGUGUUGGUGCUGGGACAGAGGCCGGUGGUGAAGGUGGAGGAGGAGGAGGAGGAGUAGUACUUGGAGCCGGAGCCGGAGCCGGAGAAGAAGCUCCGUUCACAUUGAUGGACAAUUUCUGACCGGCACUGCAAUGGCCAGCGAAGGUGCAGAUGUAGUAAUGCUCCCCUGAAGAGCUAAGAGUGAUAUUUGUA